UCAGAGAUCAGAGAAAAAUGUUUUUGCAAU
rnacentral:piRNA from 1 species